UAAAAAUGGUAUAGUAUGCAUCCUUAAACUUAAAUUGAUGGAAAAAUUCAAUUAUUACGAUAAAAUUGAUGAAAAAAGAACAUAAGCCCCGAACGAUUGUUUUACUCGUGUGGGAUCGUAUUCAGCCCUUUGCGUUUUAGCGCCUUUGAAAACAUUGACAGUUUCAUUUUCCACAUGGUCCCUGGGCCAGACAGGAUGACGGUUUGUUUUUGUUGUUCUUUUGUUUUUGGCCAAGCAGGCCACAUCAAAACAGAAUCAGCUUUGCUGUUUGGUCUUUUGCAAGCAAAGUAAUUUUAUUUGUUUUUAAAGCUUUUUUUCACUUGCCGCGGCCAGUUUAAAGUAUUUUUGUGUGAAAUACAAGUCUGAUCGCGAUAUUGAAGUGUGCAUCUUGGUGUGCAAAAUCGAUUUUCCAAUCAGAGUUACACCGGAGACGUCCCACGUUGUGCCAAUGGCAAAAAAUUUUCGCUGCAAGCUGCAACGGGUGAGAAUGUUUCGUCGGAUCUGGGCCCAAACGGAACGUCCUGUUUUAUUGGAAGGUGUCCAUCGAAUCGCCGGCAUCACAGAAUUGGUCAACAAGGCGUCGGGCAUUUUCGGCUUCCCUUGGUAUCGAGACUUAGGGCCACCAGCAUCGAAGCCGGAAAAUCACUUGGCCGUCUUGGUCGAACUGCGAAAUGCUUCCUACGGGCUGGAGGCUUCGAUGGUAUGAGUGGCUCACCAUGGGAAAAAAGUGUACCUUCAGCGCGAAGUGCUUUGGGCACGAUCGUCGAAUCGAAAUGACCUGAAACGACCAAACAUUGCGACACGGGAUAGCGAUCCGAAGAAAUUUAUCCGGUAAUCAAAGAUUUUUGCGGUAGUGAAUGAAAUUUAAUAAAAGUAUGUUUUACAAAUG